GAUGAAGAACGUAGCGAAAUGCGAUACGUAAUGUGAAUUGCAGAAUUCAGUGAAUCAUCGAGUCUUUGAACGCACAUUGCGCCCCCUGGUAUUCCGGGGGGCAUGCCUGUCCGAGCGUCAUUGCUGCCCUCAAGCACGUCUUGUGUGUUGGGCCUCCGUCCUCCUCCCGGGGGACGGGCCCGAAAGGCAGCGGCGGCACCGCGUCCGGUCCUCGAGCGUAUGGGGCUUCGUCACCCGCUCUUGUAGGCCCGGCCGGCGCUUGCCGACACAUCAAUCUUUUUUCCAGGUUGACCUCGGAUCAGGUAGGGAUACCCGCUGAACUUAAGCAUAUCAAUAAGCGGAGGA
rnacentral:misc_RNA from 1 species